rnacentral:rRNA from 1 species
GGGGAAUAUUGCACAAUGGGCGAAAGCCUGAUGCAGCGACGCCGUGUGCGGGAUGAAGGCCUUCGGGUUGUAAACCGCUUUUGAUUGGGAGCAAGCGAGAGUGAGUGUACCUUUCGAAUAAGCACCGGCUAACUACGUGCCAGCAGCCGCGGUAAUACGUAGGGUGCAAGCGUUAUCCGGAAUUAUUGGGCGUAAAGAGCUCGUAGGCGGUUUGUCGCGUCUGGUGUGAAAGUCCAUCGCUUAACGGUGGAUCUGCGCCGGGUACGGGCAGGCUAGAGUGCGACAGGGGAGACUGGAAUUCCCGGUGUAACGGUGGAAUGUGUAGAUAUCGGGAAGAACACCAAUGGCGAAGGCAGGUCUCUGGGUCGUCACUGACGCUGAGGAGCGAAAGCGUGGGGAGCGAACAGGAUUAGAUACCCUGGUAGUCCACGCCGUAAACGGUGGAUGCUGGAUGUGGGGCCCAUUCCACGGGUUCCGUGUC